UACGUAGGGUGCAAGCGUUAAUCGGAAUUACUGGGCGUAAAGCGUGCGCAGGCGGUUUUGUAAGUCAGAUGUGAAAUCCCCGGGCUUAACCUGGGAACUGCGUUUGAAACUACAAGGCUAGAGUGUGGCAGAGGGGGGUGGAAUUCCACGUGUAGCAGUGAAAUUCGUAGAUAUUGGGAAGAACACCGGUGGCGAAGGCGGCUCACUGGCUCAUUACUGACGCUCAGGCGCGAUAGCGUGGGGAUCAAACAGG
rnacentral:rRNA from 1 species